UGGGGAAUAUUGCACAAUGGAGGGAACUCUGAUGCAGCGACGCCGCGUGAGUGAUGAAGGAUUUCGUUUCGUACAACUCUGUUCUAUGGGAAGAAAAGGACUGUACCAUAGGAGAAAGCUCCGGCUAAAUACGUGCCAGCAGCCGCGGUAAUACGUAUGGAGCGAGCGUUGUCCGGAAUUAUUGGGCGUAAAGGGUGCGCAGGCGGCUUUACAAGUUGGAUGUGAAAUAUUGUGGCUCAACCACAAACGUGCAUCCAAAACUGCAAAGCUUGAGUUAAGGAGAGGUAAGUGGAAUUCCUGGUGUAGCGGUGGAAUGCGUAGAUAUCAGGAGGAAUACCGGUGGCGAAGGCGACUUACUGGACUUAAACUGACGCUCAGGCACGAAAGCGUGGGGAGCAAACAGG
rnacentral:rRNA from 1 species